GCCAGGUAUGGUGGCACACACCUGUAAUCCCAGCAACCUGGGAGGCUGAGGAAGGAGGAUAUCUCAUAUUAGAGGCAAGCCUCAGCAAUUUAGUAAGACCCUGUCUCAA
rnacentral:sRNA from 1 species